AUUGAACGCUGGCGGCAGGCCUAACACAUGCAAGUCGAACGGUAACAGGAAACAGCUUGCUGUUUCGCUGACGAGUGGCGGACGGUUGAGUAAUGUCUGGGAAACUGCCUGAUGGAGGGGGAUAACUACUGGAAACGGUAGCUAAUACCGCAUAACGUCGCAAGACCAAAGAGGGGGACCUUCGGGCCCCUUGCCAUCGGAUGUGCCCAGAUGGGAUUAGCUAGUAGGUGGGGUAACGUCUCACCUAGGCGACGAUCCCUAGCUGGUCUGAGAGGAUGACCAGCGACACUGGAACUGAGACACGGUCCAGACUCCUGCGGGAGGCAGCAGUGGGGAAUAUUGCACAAUGGGCGCGAGCCUGAUGCAGCCAUGGCGCGUGUAUGAAGAAGGCCUUCGGGUUGUAAAGUACUUUCAGCGGGGAUGAAGGGAGUAAAGUUAAUACCUUGGCUCAUUGACGUUACCCGCAGAAGAAGCACCGGCUAACUCCGUG
rnacentral:rRNA from 1 species